GACGAACGCUGGCGGCGUGCUUAACACAUGCAAGUCGAACGGAAAGGCCCUGCUUUUGUGGGGUGCUCGAGUGGCGAACGGGUGAGUAACACGUGAGUAACCUGCCCUUGACUUUGGGAUAACUUCAGGAAACUGGGGCUAAUACCGGAUAGGAGCUCCUGCUGCAUGGUGGGGGUUGGAAAGUUUCGGCGGUUGGGGAUGGACUCGCGGCUUAUCAGUUUGUUGGUGGGGUAGUGGCUUACCAAGGCUUUGACGGGUAGCCGGCCUGAGAGGGUGAGCGGCAACAUUGGGACUGAGAUGCGGCCCAGACUCCUACGGGAGGCAGCAGUGGGGAAUAUUGCACAAUGGGCGGAAGCCUGAUGCAGCAACGCCGCGUGGGGGAUGACAGCCUUCGAGUUGUAAACCGCUUUCGCCUGUGACGAAGCGUGAGUGACGGUAAUGGGUAAAGAAGCACCGGCUAACUACGUG
rnacentral:rRNA from 1 species